rnacentral:rRNA from 1 species
UACGUAGGGGGCUAGCGUUGUCCGGAUUUAUUGGGCGUAAAGAGCGUGUAGGCGGCCAGGUGGGUCUGCUGUGAAAACUCGAGGCUCAACCUCGAGACGUCGGCGGAAACCAUCUGGCUAGAGUCCGGAAGAGGAGAGUGGAAUUCCUGGUGUAGCGGUGAAAUGCGCAGAUAUCUGGAGGAACACCGGUGGCGAAGGCGGCGUCCUGGACCAACACUGACACUGAUGAGCGAAAGCCAGGGGAGCAAACGGG